AUUCAGUUGAUGACUCCAAAAUAGGACGAAACGCGCAUCCUGGAU
rnacentral:hammerhead_ribozyme from 1 species